rnacentral:misc_RNA from 1 species
CAUACUGUUUACGGGACUCAUAUUAUAGAGUGAUGUCAAUGUUAAAAGUAUAAGUUAUUAUUUUGUAAAUGAUAUAAAAAAAAUAAUAUAUUAAUUGUGAGUUUAUAUUUAUGAAAUCAUAUUUAUUCAAGGAAUAUAAUGUUCACUACUUUAUAUGAAUUUUAAUAAAAGAAAUGAAAUGAAUAAAACAUUAGCUGGAAAAAUUGAAUUUAAAAAUUUAUGUAAUGUAUUGGAGAAAGUUUCUAAAGCACAUAAUACUGAAAAAGCUGAUAUUUUAGAGCAGUUUAUUCAAGAAUGUCGUAUUACGGGUCACAAAUUAAAAACAGAAUUUCCAGAUAUGGAUAUUUCAUUCUUCCCUAUAUUAAAAUUAAUUUUACCGGAUCUUGAACGAAGACAAGAGGCCUAUAAUUUAAAAGAAAAGUCUCUCGCUGAUCUUUAUAUUCGUGUAUUUUGUUUGGGAAAAGAUAGUAAGGAUGCAAAAAAACUUAAACAAUACAAGGCUCCAAUUUCAAAAAAAAUUGCAGGACGUGAUUUUGCGGAAAAAGCUUGUUGUAUUUUGCAAAAUCGUUUACCACGCAAAAAUUCUGAUUUUACUUUAGAACAAAUUAAUUUAUUUUUAAAUGAUAUAUCGUUAAAAAAUAAAGCUGAUCGACCAAAGGAUGAAAUAUUCAAAUUUUUAUUAGGAAAAACGAAUGCAUUAGAAUUGAAAUGGAUAACACGAAUUAUCCUAAAAAAUUUAAAGCUUGGUAUUACGUCGAAAAAAAUAUUGCAAGUUUUUCAUCCAGAUGCAAAUUCAUUAUUUGAUGUAUCAUCUAAUUUGCAACAUAUUUGUGAAAAAUUAUAUGAUCCACAAUUAAGAUAUCAUUGUGAUAUUCAAAUUUUUUCUCAUUUUAAACCUAUGUUAUUAGAACGAUGUCAGAUUGAGGAUAUAAAGAAACUUUUUAAUGAAAAAGAACAAUAUUUUGUACAAUGCAAAUAUGAUGGUGAACGAUCUCAAAUACAUAUAAAAGAUGGGAAGUAUAAAUAUUUUACACGACAAGGAUAUGAUAUUACAAAUAAUUCUGGUUUUGGGAAAACUAGUUCUUCAGGUUUUAUGAGUAGUGUAUUUGAUCGAUUAUUAAAUCAAGAAGUAAAAUCAGUAAUUUUAGAUGGUGAAUUAAUGGGCUGGCAUAAAGAAAAGAAAUUGUUAGGCUCAAAAGGAAUGAAUUAUGAUGUUAAAAAAUUGUCAGAAAAUAGUCAUUAUCAGCCAUGUUUUAUUGCAUUUGAUAUUAUUAUGCAUAAUGAUAUAUUAGUUAAUAAUGAACCUUAUGAAAAAAGACUUAAAAUUUUAGAAAAUAUAUUUAAAGAAGAGGAAGGUGUUCUUUUAUUAUGUAAAUCUAUUAAAGUUUCCAAGAGUGAGGAAUUAUGUAAUAUAUUUAAUGAAAGUAUUAAAAAUAAAGAAGAAGGAAUCGUAGUAAAAAAAUGUGAUAGUAAAUAUAAACUAAAUAUAAAAGAUGGUACUGGAUGCUAUAAAAUAAAAGCUGAGUAUUCUGAAGAUUUGAUACAAGAUAUAGAUUUAAUAAUACUCGGUGGUUAUUAUGGUGAUGGAAAAUUUAUAGGUUCAAUAAAAAGCUUUUUAAUGGGAGUAGCUUCAUCAUCAAAAACUCCUGGUGAAAAUCCUAUAGAAUUUUUAUCUAUAGUAUCAGUUAGCAAUGGUUUAUCUAUGGAUGAAUUGAAAGAACUUUGGAGAAUAUUUGAAAAUAAGUGGCAAACUCAACGCCCUACGAAUGUAAUUCCUCCCAAGAUCGAUCUGCCAGAAUUAUGGAUAUGCCCUGAAAAUUCUAUUAUCUUAACUGUAAAAGCAUCAGAAAUGACACGAAGUUCUGAUUAUCCAACGGGAUACAGUUUACGAUUUCCUGAAGUUACAAACAUUAGAACUGAUAAACCAUGGUAUAAUGUUUGUACAACUAAUGAUUUGCAAUCAUUAAUUAAGGAUACGUGGCCAAUUCAAAAAUUGACAAAAAGAAAAGUAAAUUAUGAAGAUAUAGAAGUAUCUGAAAUCAAAGUAUCUAAAAGAAAAAAAUAUUAUUCAAAAAAUGAACAAGCAUUGAUAAAACCAAAUAUUUUUGAUGAUCCACCAAUUCAAUUUACCCGACUUUUUGAUGAUAAAGAAAUUUGCGUAAUAAAUGGCAACGAUGAAUUGCCUAAAAAACGGAUUGAAGAAAUUCUUUUACAACAUAAAGCAAAUGUUGUACAAAAUCCUUUAAAAGAAAAUUACUGUAUUAUAAUUGGUAAUAUUAAAACGAUAAAAGCAAAUGAUAUUAUACAAAAUAAUAAUAUAAAUAAAAAAUACGAUAUAGUAACAUUAGAUUGGUUCAAACGGGUUACCAAAGAAGAAAACUGGUCAUCACUGCAAGAUUUUUUACCAUGGGAUUUGAUAUCCAGUCGCGAAUCAACGAAACAACGAUUAGCACAAUAUUACGAUGAUUAUUACGAUCACUAUACCGUAGAUGCUAAUGAAGAGACUUUACUUCGUUCGUUUAAAAAAUUAGAAGAAACGGAAAACUACAUAGAAGAAAAGCAUUCCUGUAAAACCUGCGAUGAACUUUCCUAAAUACCAAACGAAGUUGUUGGUACAGUGGGGCAUCGCAAUUGAGUUUGAUCACUGGCUCACCAGCGUUAUGGCUAAAUCAAAAAAUUCCAGGACACAGUGUUUUCGCAUGAGUAGAGAGAAAAGCCAAUCUUAGCUAUGGAUAUUCCGAGGUGCAACAUCAGUUCGGUCACGCAUCUUCAACGGGGAUCUGCCAAAUGGUGGAAAGAUGUUGAAUGACCUGUCAACAUAUUUGCCCCACUGACAACACCCUCGAGCAAAGCUGUCCAUGCUUGAUGGAGAAAAAGGGAGAAACGUCUAAAGUGACACCCCUUCGUUCCACGCUCAUUAGGGCAAAUUCCUCGGUGCGUUUUAUGCAUUCCUACCAACGAGGAUAUAAAUUUAAACUUGUCUGAUUGUUUGGUUUCCUUUCGUCGUCUU